rnacentral:lncRNA from 1 species
AUGUCCCCAUCACAGUCCAUAGAGCGCUGCUCACCCUCAGCCAUGGUGCAGUGGCUGGAGCUUCCCUCCGCGCUUUUGCUGUUCAUAGUGCUCUCCACUGUGGCGAGCUCUGUUGCCGGCUUUCGCACCUGGUCUGACGUUGCGAGCACUAGCUCUGCGGCGAUCCUCAGCUCUGUCACAAUCAAUGGUGAUGGCUCGUCAGUCGCAGUGGGCUCUGGCUCUGGCUCUCCAUCAGCAGUAGGCUCAGACUUUGGCUCCACGCAGUGGGGAGAUGGUGGGCUGGGCUCUGGGGCAUGAGUGGGGCUUGUGUUGUCAUCCGUGUUGUCACCGCUAAACUUUAUAAGGUCCGGUCUUCUGUCAGGGUGUGGUGCAGGAGUGAACGCACGAAGAAGAAGAAGAUAGAAAAACAGUAUUUAAUAAUUCACACAGGGGUAAUCCAUAACAAGCAGGUAGCAAACACACGUAUACAUCGACGACACCAGACAACCAAACACUGAAUAGAAUGCAGCUUAUAUGGGGAACGUAAAUGAGGAUAAUUAAUGAGGGGAAUGAGGGUAUGCCGUGGCGUAAUGGUUAGAGAGUUUGAAUCUUUACCCUAAGGAUGUGGGUUUGAGUCUCGGGCCGGCAAUACCACGAUUUAGGUGCCCUUGAGCAAGGCACCAAACCCCCAACUGCUCCCCGGGUGCCGCAGCAUAAAUGGCUGCCCACUGCUCCAGGUGUGUGUUCACGGUGUGCGUGUUCACUGCUGUGUGUGUGCACUUUGGAUGGGUUAAAUGCAGAGCACGAAUUCUGAGUAUGGCUGUAUGUCACGUCACUCACUCACUUAACAAGAAAACCCUGAACAUAAUGACACAAUCAAGGGGAGACAGAAACUAGGUCAAAGAACACGAGGGGUGAAAUGAAAACAAACAAAAGUCCAUAAAGUGUUACAGUUACUCCAUAUCCAAAAUGUGCUAAAAAUGUAAUGCAAUACCUGCUAAAUAACAUAAUAAUGUAAACUAUGUUAUGUAAACAUAGUUUCACUUGUCAGCUGAGAAGUAAAGCAUUGGAUUACAUACAGGCCAUGUGUCCACUGGCCUGUUUCCUCAUGUUUGUACAAACAUCUCUUUCUGGUGUGUUAGUAAAUAAGCCAUUAAAGUGAGUCAUUUGACUUGGUUAUAAAAAGCUCACCUAUCAUAGCUCCUGCUGUCCUCACAAACACUUCGGCUGGGGGAACUAACAUCAGACAAACCUUUCAUCUUCAGGGCAUUUAAUCUCACCGUAUGGCAAGCACAACCCGAAAUAGAGAGCUCGUUUUGCAGCUCAUGCUGGGCUUGUGAUGUGGGAGGCAGAGGUUGAAAGCUUCUAUUCAUCUAAUGCAGACCUUCUCCUGAGCGUGUGAUGUUUUGGGUCAGGCGAAUAAACUUUUAUUUAUCAAUUUGCAAUAUCAACCUCAUCAACAGCAUUCUGUGUUGUUUGUCCUUUUGUAGGUGCUGGGGAAUCAGGGA